UCUCCGUUGGUGAACCAGCGGAGGGAUCAUUACAGAGUUGCAAAACUCCCAACCCUUUGUGAACGAACCUACCAGUUGCUUCGGCGGCAGACCCCUCUGGGGCCUAGCCUUUACGGGUACCCCGCCGGAGUCCUACAAACUCUUGAUUUUUUGGCAUCCCUGAGUAGCUUAUAAAUAAGUUAAAACUUUCAACAACGGAUCUCUUGGUUCUG
rnacentral:misc_RNA from 1 species